UCCAUCAUGGAGGAAAAUGGUUUAUACAC
rnacentral:piRNA from 1 species